AUUAGUUUGAAGUGCAGCUUGGGCAUCAGGAUCUUUAAAAACUCCCUGAAGUUAUACUAAGAUUUGCUUAAAGUAGAAAGCCACUGAUCUGAUUUACAGGUCAGGGUUUUAUGGUCAUUUUCAACUCCAGAGUUAUCUGUGCAUCUGUGUGGUCUUAAGUCAAUUAACCACUCUGGGUCUCUAUUUUAUUAUCUGUGAAAUUAGGAGUGGAAUACAAUGACUGCUACAGAUCCUUCCAGUCUUAAAAAUCUCUCCGAGACCACUGACUUCUAUUUAGAAGGCGUUUCAGAGCUCAAGUUAAUGUUUGCAGUUUCCUUCCUCAUCUUCAUCCUCUGAUGGUAUCUGUCUGAUCAUAGUCUCAACACAGAGGAGAAACUCUCCAGAAAAUCACCAGCCAAAGAGGCAGUAUUCUCUCUAGACAGAACAUUUGAUAAAGAAGGAUGUCAAGUGGAUAAACACAUUUUAUUGAAUUCCUUAAAGAUUUUUAAAAAUUACUUUGGAAUAGAUCACCCUAGCCUCAUGUAUUAAAUGACUUAGAGUAUGGUAAUUUUUUUUUUUUUUUUUUGCUAUAUGCAUUUACCACACUUAUCUUUAGUAUUUUUUAUUCAAAGAUGGUUUCACAAUUUUUAAAAUAUAAAAUGUAAACUAAAAUCAUUUGAUUUGCUUAAAUAUCAUAUGUCCAUUUUUUGUCCCUAAUUUUUAAUACUCUUAUGCCUGGAUUUCUAAGUUUAUGCCUGGAUUUCUAAGUUUAUACCAGGUCUUCUCAGAAGAGCUUUAGAGUAGGCCUCUGAGUUCUUUGAUGUGAACUCUGCUUUGAGCUUGGAAAUGUUUCCUUAGUAUAUUUGCUUCUCCACUGGCUCUGUAUCAGCUUGACUCCUCCCAAGUGUAUAUUGAAGGAGUUGUGCUAACUGGCAAAUUUGUUGUUCAUCGUUAUGUCAGGGCUAGGAAAGUGGGACCCUGUGAGUUCAAGCCUUCAGGUACUCUUUCUCUGCAAGAUUCCCCUCAAGGCUUAAUACUCUCAAUUCA
rnacentral:lncRNA from 1 species